rnacentral:lncRNA from 1 species
UGAGGACAUUGUGCUAAGCUGGUCACGAAAGGACAAUAUGGUUACCUCUGGAGGAGAUGACAGGAGCAGGACAAGCAGAAACAAAGUUGCAAACGUUUUCAUGGGGCUCAUCCCUUCCCACUAGAAUUGGUCAGCUCCAGCAUCCAUGUCUGCACUGUGUAUCUCAUUUUCCCUGGCUGUAAUAACUCAUUGGCCUAGGAUGGACACCUUACCCAAGCCAAGAAUUGAGAUAUGUGAUCUAAUCAGCCCAGUCUAAGAACUGGUUUGAACCAUAACCAUCAACCUCUCUCAGGAGAGUGAUUAACAGCCAUAUUGCACCGGGGCAGAGGCAGGGGUAGAGAGAAGAGCCCAAAAGACAUGGAGGGAGAUGUCCCAAUGGCUUUGCACUUCGCUGUUCUGGCUCUUUCCUACAGCUUUAUUGUAUUCUUGGUCUUCAGAUUCC